GGUACCUACGGGGGGCAGCAGUGAGGAAUAUUGGUCAAUGGCCGAGAGGCUGAACCAGCCAAGUCGCGUGAGGGAAGACGGCCCUACGGGUUGUAAACCUCUUUUGUCGGGGAGCAAAGCGAGUCACGUGUGACUCAUUGAGAGUACCAGAAGAAAAAGCAUCGGCUAACUCCGUGCCAGCAGCCGCGGUAAUACGGAGGAUGCGAGCGUUAUCCGGAUUUAUUGGGUUUAAAGGGUGCGCAGGCGGAGGUGCAAGUCAGCGGUCAAAUUGCGGGGCUGAACACCGUACUGCGGU
rnacentral:rRNA from 1 species